UCUGUUGCUUUGGCGGGCCGCGGUCCCCCGCGGCCGCCCCCCCUCCCCGGGGGGUGGCUAGUGCCCGCCAGAGGACCAUCAAACUCCAGUCAGUGAACGUCGCAGUCUGAAAAAACAUUCAAUAAACUAAAACUUUCAACAACGGAUCUCUUGGUUCUGGCAUCGAUGAAGAACGCAGCGAAAUGCGAUAAGUAAUGUGAAUUGCAGAAUUCAGUGAAUCAUCGAAUCUUUGAACGCACAUUGCGCCCCUUGGUAUUCCGAGGGGCAUGCCUGUUCGAGCGUCAUUACAACCCUCAAGCUCUGCUUGGUAUUGGGCACCGCCCUUCUUCGGGCGCGCCUCAAAGACCUCGGCGGUGGCUGUCUUGCCUCAAGCGUAGUAGAAUACACCUCGCUUCGGAGCGCAGGGCGUCGCCCGCCGGACGAACCUUCUGAACUUUUCUCAAGGUUGACCUCGGAUCAGGUA
rnacentral:rRNA from 1 species